rnacentral:rRNA from 1 species
CCUACGGGUGGCUGCAGUGAGGAAUAUUGGUCAAUGGACGAGAGUCUGAACCAGCCAAGUAGCGUGAAGGAUGACUGCCCUAUGGGUUGUAAACUUCUUUUAUAAGGGAAUAAAAUGUGCCACGUGUGGGAUUUUGUAUGUACCAUAUGAAUAAGGAUCGGCUAACUCCGUGCCAGCAGCCGCGGUAAUACGGAGGGUCCGAGCGUUAUCCGGAUUUAUUGGGUUUAAAGGGAGCGUAGGUGGAUUGUUAAGUCAGUUGUGAAAGUUUGCGGCUCAACCGUAAAAUUGCAGUUGAAACUGGCAGUCUUGAGUACAGUAGAGGUGGGCGGAAUUCGUGGUGUAGCGGUGAAAUGCUUAGAUAUCACGAAGAACUCCGAUUGCGAAGGCAGUUCACUAGACUGCAACUGACACUGAGGCUCGAAAGUGUGGGUAUCAAACAGGAUUAGAUACCCCUGUAGUC